GAAUCUCCUGACUAUGGUGGAGGAGUGUGGAUCCUGGAACUAAACUGAGGUGAUAGGGAGGAAAAGAGAGAAAUCAACAGUAAACGCUGCACAUCCUCUGUCUGGUAAAUGUGCAUCACUGAUUGUAUCCAAUCUAGAUUCAACCAGAGAGACGGAAGCAUUAAGAAUGACAUAGAAUAUGGAAUUUGCUAUAGGGAUUUGAGCUUCUACAUUUGCGGGAAGGAGCGAGUUGAACACUUAGGAACAGCUGUUGCUGCCGUGUCUGGUGGGGGGCCUGAGAGUGGCAGGACAAGCAGCCUGCCCCAGAAGUGGAAGAAACUGAAAGUGGAGUCCUGAGAGCUGAAUCUGCCGCAGGCCCGCGGGCCGCCCGGGAAUUAGGAAAGUUAGAGGGGAUCCACGCCCACAAGUGCUAUGGACUCUGAUCGCCCAACCAGAGCAAACCCAGAAGGACAACUCUCCAAGCCUUUCAAUCACUCCCACUAACCCGUAUUGUGGACACACUAUUGUGAGGCCUACUAAGGAUGUACUGCUGAUGACCUUUUGAAGGCCAGUGGACCUGCUCUGCAGACCCAGGCUCCUCUCCCAUGGAGCAUCCCAAGUCUGUCCUUAUGGGAAGAAGCAGGAGCCCUGUCUGGCUGUACCCCAAGCUGCUUUCUCUGGACCAAUGCUGUCAGCGAUAGAGGGAACCCUUCCACCAUCAUGUGAAGAAGCCUGGUCUAGCCUGCUGGAGGAUGAGAGAUCACAUGGAAUGAGGCCACAAUCGUUCCAGCCAAAGCCCCAGUAAUAGAAUUAAGAUCAUCCAAGACCAUGGCAUCCCGCCUGAGAAGUUCAGAUGAGAAGGGCCACCUGAACAACCAACAGAAUCUUAAAAAGUAAAAAAUGAGUGUUGCCACUAUGCAUCUAUUAGAAUGGCAGAAAUCGAAGACACUGACAACAACAAAUGCUGGUGAGGAUGUGGAGCAACAGGAACUCUCACUCACUGAAGAUGGAAAUGCAAAAUAGUGCAGCUACUUUGGAAAACAGCUACUUUGGCUGUUUCUUACAACACUAAAUAUGCUAUUAUUAUAUGAUCCAGAAGUUUUGCUCCUUAGCACUUACCCAAAAAAGUUGAAAACUUAUGUACACACAAAAACCUGCACAUGGAUAUUCACAGCAGUUUUUGAUAUGGUUUGGCUCUGUGUCCCCACAGAAAUCUCAUCUUGUAUUUGUAUAAAUUUAUGGGGUACAAGAGUAAUUUUGUUAGCAUGCAUAGACAUGCAUAGACUGCAUAGCUCCCAUAAUUCCCACAUGUUGUGGGAGGGACCAGGUGGGAGGUGAUUGAAUCAUAGGGGCAGGUCUUUCCUGUCUUGUUCUUGUGAUAGUGAGUGGGUCUCACAAGAUCUGAUGGUUUUAAAUAACAGGAAUUUAUCUGCACAAGCUCUUUUAUUUUGCCUGCUGCCAUCCACAUAAGAUGUGACUUGCUCCUCCUUGCCUUCUGCCAUGAUUGUGAGGCCUCCCCAGCCAUGUGGAACUGUAAAUCCAAUUAAAUCUCUUUCUUUUGUAAAUUGCCCAGUCUUGGAUAUGUCUUUAUCAGCAGAGUAAAUGUGGACUAAUACAGUAAAUUGGUACCAGUAGAGUGGGAUGUUGCUGAAAAUAUCAUCAAAAAUGUGGAAGUAACUUUGGAACUGGGUAACAGGCAGAGGAUGGAACAGUUUGGAGGGCUCAGAAGAAGACAGAAAAAUGUGGGAAAGUUUGGAACUUCCUAGAGACCUGUUGAAUGGCUUUGACAAAAAUGCUGAUGGUGAUAUGAAUGAACAAUAAGGUGAAUGAACAAUAAGGACCAGGCUGAGGUGGUCUCAGAGGGAGAUGAGGAACUUGUUGGGAAAUGGAGAAAAGAUGACUCUUGUUAUGCUUUAGAAAAGAGACUGGCAGCAUUUUGCCCCUGCCCUAGAGACUUGUGGAACUUUAAACUUGAGAGAGAUGAUUUAGGGUAUCUGGCGGAGGAAAUUUCUAAGCAGUAAUGCAUUCGUGAGGUGACUUGGGUGCUGUUAAAGGCACUCAGUUUCAAAAGGGAAACAGAACAUAAAAGUUUGGGAAAUUUGCAGUCUGGCAAUGCAAUAGAAAAUAAAAUCCCAUUUUCUGAAGAGAAAUUCAAGCCAGCUGCAGAAAUUUACCUAAUAACGAGGAGCCAAAUGUUAAUCCCCAAGACAAUGGAGAAAAUGUCUCCAGGGCAUGUCAGAGGUCUUCACAGCAGCCUCUUCCAUCAAAGGCCCAGAGACCUAGGGGGAAAAAAUGGUUUCCAAAGGCCCAGGGUUCCCAUUCUGUGUGCAGCCUAGGGACUUGGUGCCCUACCUCUCAGCCGCUCCAGCCAUGGCUUCAGAGGGUGCAAGCCCCAAGCCUUGGCAGCUUCCACAUGGUGUUGAACCUGGGAGUGCACAGAAGUCAAGGAUUGAGGUUUGGGAACCUCCACCUAGGUUUCAGAGGAGGUAUGGAAAUGCCUGGAUGUCCAGUCAGGAGUCUGCUGCAGAGUGGGGCACCCAUGGGAACCCCUGCUAGGCCAGUGUGGAAGGGAAAUGUGGGGCCCCCACACAGAGUCCCCACUGGGGCACUGCCUAUUGGAACUGUGAGAAGAAGGCCACCAUCCUCCAGAUUCCAGAAUGGUAGAUCCACCAACAACUUGCACCGUGCACCUGGAAAAGCUGCAGACACUCAACGCCAGCCCAUGAAAGCAACCACGAGGGAGGCUGUACCCUGUGGUACAGGAGCAAAGCUACCCAAAACCAUGGGAACCCACCUCAUACAUCAGCAUGGCCUAGAUGUGAGAGAUGGAGUCAAAGGAGAUCAUUUUGGAACUUUAAGAUUUGACUGCCUUGCUGGAUUUCGGACUUGCAUGGGGCCUGUAACCCCUUUGUUUUGGCCAAUUUCUCCCAUUUGGAAUGACUGUAUUUACCCAAUGGCUGUACCCCCACUGUAUCUAGGAAAUAACUAACUUGCUUUUGAUUUUACAGACUCACAGGUGAAAGGGACUUGCCUUGUCUCACAGAAGAUGUUGGACUGUGGACUUUUGAGUUAAUGAUGAAAUGAGUUGAGACUUUGGGGGACUGUUGGGAAGGCAUGACUGGUUUUGAAAUGUGAAGAUAUGAGACUGGGAGGGGCCAGGGGUGGAAUGAUAUGGUUUGGCUCUGUGUCCCUACCCAAAUCUCAUCUUGUAGCUCCCAUAAUUCUCACAUGUGGGAGGGACCUGGUAGGAAAUGACUGAAUCAUGGGGAUGGGUCUUUCCUAUGCUGUUCUCAUGAUAGUGAAUGGGUCUCAUGAGAUCUGAUGAUUUUAAAAAACGGGAGUUUCUCUGUACAAGCUCUUUUGUUUUGCCUGCCACCAUUCACGUAAGAUGUGACUUGCUCCUCCUGCCUUCCACCAUGAUUGUGAACCCUCUCCAGCCAUGUGGAACUGUAAGU
ensembl:lncRNA LINC00652 long intergenic non-protein coding RNA 652